GAACGCACCUUGCGCCCCUUGGUAUUCCGAGGGGCAUGCCUGUUUGAGUGUCAUUAAAUUAUCAACUCAAAAAUCUUGCAUUUUUGAUGUUUGGAAUUGGAGCGUGCAGGGCCCUAUGAGGCUCUGCUCCUCUUGAAAUGCAUUAGUGGAACUUCUGAUUGCAGACCUGCUCCAGCGUGAUAAUUAUCUACGUUGCAGUAGUGAAGUCAGAGGAUCUGCUUACAACCGUUGCAUAUAUGCGCAACAAAACUCAUGACAAUUUGACCUCAAAUCAGGUAGGAUUACCCGCUGAACUUAAG
rnacentral:misc_RNA from 1 species